ACGGAAGGCAGCAGUGGGGAAUAUUGCACAAUGGAGGAAACUCUGAUGCAGCAACGCCGCGUGAAGGAUGAAGGUCUUCGGAUCGUAAACUUCUGUCCUUGGGGAAGAUCAUACCGGUACCCUUGGAGGAAGCCCCGGCUAACUACGUGCCAGCAGCCGCGGUAAUACGUAGGGGGCAAGCGUUAUCCGGAAGUAUUGGGCGUAAAGAGUGCGUAGGUGGUUACCUAAGCAGGGGGUGAAAGGCAGUGGCUUAACCAUUGUUAGCCCCCUGAACUGGGCUACGUGAGUGCAGGAGAGGAAAGCGGAAUUCCUACUGUAGCGGUGAAAUGCGUAGAUAUUAGGAGGAACACCAGUGGCGAAGGCGGCUUUCUGGACUGUUACUGACACUGAGGCACGAAAGUGUGGGGAGCAAACAGGAUUAGAUACCCUGGUA
rnacentral:rRNA from 1 species